CGAAUCUUUCCUUUUUCUGGGAUUUUCCCUAUUUGUUUAGAUUUUUAUUCUUUCCAUAUUAUUGUAAUUUUGGACAAGCUAUGCACGAAUUUUAGUAGAUUUUCUAGGGAUUUUGAGUUUAGUAUAAAUAUAGAUUAUUUUCUUUCAUUGGAGGUUAGACACUUUAUACAUUAAUUUGAGAGAAUUUUAAUAGAGACACUAUUGUGCAUUCUUCUCCAUUCUUCAUUGACAAUUGGAACUUAUCAAGGAUUGUAAUUCUUGUGGCGUUCUACAACUCGGGUGCGAGUCUUGGAUUGUGUAAUCAAGGGAUCCUUGAAACAAUGAUCUUGCUGGGUUUGUUGGUUCACUAAUUUGGGGUUCAAUCUCUAAACGUCUAAUUUGGCUUUUCUGGGUUUUGGAACAAUCUUGCUGUGGGUUUCGUAGUCAACGCUGCUACGGAGUUCACAACAUCACAACUAUGCUCUUUGAUUCCCAUCAAGUGUCAGCACAACCCUUCUUCUUUUUCCUGCACAUAUAUGUAUAACGAAUUGAUAGUCUAUCAACAUCCUCUCCCCAAUUGUCUCCGCUAUCAAACUUGACCGUAUCGCUUAAAUUUCAAAGUGAUGAUACAUUGCGCUUCAUAGAACCUUGAGUUUGAAUGUCAUGCUAAC
rnacentral:lncRNA from 1 species